GACGAACGCUGGCGGCGUGCCUAAUACAUGCAAGUAGAACGCUGAAGGAGGAGCUUGCUUCUCUGGAUGAGUUGCGAACGGGUGAGUAACGCGUAGGUAACCUGCCUGGUAGCGGGGGAUAACUAUUGGAAACGAUAGCUAAUACCGCAUAAGAGUAGAUGUUGCAUGACAUUUGCUUAAAAGGUGCAAUUGCAUCACUACCAGAUGGACCUGCGUUGUAUUAGCUAGUUGGUGAGGUAACGGCUCACCAAGGCAACGAUACAUAGCCGACCUGAGAGGGUGAUCGGCCACACUGGGACUGAGACACGGCCCAGACUCCUACGGGAGGCAGCAGUAGGGAAUCUUCGGCAAUGGACGGAAGUCUGACCGAGCAACGCCGCGUGAGUGAAGAAGGUUGUCGGAUCGUAAAGCUCUGUUGUAAGAGAAGAACGAGUGUGAGAGUGGAAAGUUCACACUGUGACGGUAUCUGACCAGAAAGGGACGGCUAACUACGUG
rnacentral:rRNA from 1 species